AUGGGGUUGCUGGCAAUCAAUCGGCUCGUGUCUAUGCAGCCGGAUUGGCGUCGCCGGCCAACUCAAGGCCGCAAUGGAUUGGUGACUUCAUCCGUAGCCAAAAGAAAGGGCUCACCCUGCAGCCUACAUGAUGACAAUUCUGGGAGUGUUAAAAAAUCGAGAUAUUCAGGAUCACCCCUUCCAGAGGAUAUAUGGCAUCAUAUAUAUUCUCUGCUUCCUCUGCGAGAUGCUGCACGUGUUGCCUGCGUGUCUCAUACAUUUAAAAGUUACUGGAGACAUUUUCCCAAUCUCAGCUUAACUAGGGAAACACUGGGUUUGAAUGUCGGGGUGGAUGGAUUGUCAUGUCGAUGUGAAAUAGCGAUGGAUCUUGCAAGGAAAACCGACCACAUUCUCAAAAACCACUCAGGCAUUGGCGUUAAGGCAUUCAAGCUUGAAAUAUGUGGUUUCCCCUUUUUCAACAACUCUUGCGAUCUCGAUCGUUGGCUUCAUAUUGCUGCCAAACCAGGGAUUGAAGAACUUGACCUGAAGCUUUUAUCAACUUAUGUAGCUCUUUGUCCAAAAAAAUCUCAUGCAACUGUUUGUCGAAAGAUAUCUGAGGCGGCUUUUUGUCGAAAAAAAUCCCAUACAAAUGUGUACAACUUUCCAUGCUCACUUUUAGAUGGGAGUGGCAAGUCGAUCCAGCAGCUUCAUCUCAACAGUUGUGCCCUCCGCCCCACGACAGGACUUGGCCGCUUAAGAAGCCUGACUAGUCUCGAAUUUUUUCGUGUGCAUAUUACGGAAGAUGAGUUAAGGUGCCUUUUUUCCAGUUCAAUUGCUUUGGAGAAACUGGUACUGUGGUCCUGCAAUGAAUUAUCUUUCUUGGAGAUACCUAGCCUGUUGCAGCGGCUUAACCACCUGGUUCUCAUGGAUUGUGGAAAUAUGGAAAUGAUAAAGAGCAAAGCCCCUAAUCUAUACAUUUUUCAUUAUGGUGGUACCCUAAUACCGCUAUCACUUGGUGAUUCAUUGCAGAACCUAUGCAUUGAUGCUUUAUUAGGUCGCCAAGACGUUGUUCAUUAUCCUUGGGCCGAUCUUCUGCGCAUGGUGCCACAUCUUGAAGAUCUCGAAAUAUCUUCGUAUUGUGCGAGGGAUACACUGGUGGUGCCUGGCAAAUUCCUCCACCUCCAAUGCCUAUGUAUUGGGGCUUUUAACCCAGACUAUGAUUAUCUAUGCAAUGCAGGUAGAUGCGGGUCGCGUGAGGCAAGAAUCGGUUUUAGGAGAAUCUUCACAUGA
rnacentral:rRNA from 1 species